rnacentral:rRNA from 1 species
UACGGAGGGUGCGAGCGUUGUCCGGAAUCACUGGGCGUAAAGGGCGCGUAGGUGGCGCGACAAGUCAACGGGUGAAAGCCCGGGGCUCAACCCCGGGUCGGCCCAUGGCAAACUGGGGGGCUUGAGCAUUGGUAGAGGCAGGCGGAAUUCCGGGGUGUAGCGGUGGAAUGCGUAGAGAUUGGAAAGAACACCGAUGGCGAAGGCACUUUACUGGGCUAUUACUAACACUCAGAGACGAAAGCUAGGGUAGCAAAUGGG